UACGUAUCUAUUCAGACAUUUCCAGACAAAGGUUACAAAUCUAAGGGGUUGAAAGUCUAUUGUGAUGGACUUGCAUAUAUUUUUUAAUGUAAUCUUUCUGUAUCUUUCUGGAACAUCGGCAUCCAUCGUAUUGACUCAGAAAAAUGCAGAAAUUGCACAAGUUGGAAAGUCCAUUGAGUUAAGUUGUGCAGUCAGUGGUUAUAAUAUAAACGAUCACCACAUGCACUGGAUCAGACAAGCCACUGGAGGAAACCUGGUUUGGAUGGCAGCAUUUAGAACCGGAUACACUACUUAUAUUGCUGAUAAUUUCAAGGGCCGAGUCACUCCAUCCACAAGUGGAUCCACUGCCCUGCUGAAGAUUGACAGACUGACUGAGUCAGACACUGCAAAGUAUUAUUGUGCAAGAGAACACAGUGAGGAAGUUCUAGCUCAGCUCUGGUUAAAAACUACAAAGUACUUCAGCCUGUAUUUUUCGAAAUAUGUCAAUUCGGCAUAUAGGCCACUUAUAUUAUAUACAUUUUAUCAACAUGAUAGAGUGUUUCCAAUCUGUUAGUUUAUGUCAGAAUUUUUGGGGAAAAAAGUAGUUACUGCAAAAAAAAAAACAAUAUCGUUGAAAACACAAAAUUUGGCUGCACCACAGACGGGCACUUACAGUAAUAAUGUUGCUCACAUAAUGAGAUUUAGGUUUUCUAUUUGCAUAGGCAAAUUUAGUAGAAAGAGUUUAUUCUCAAAGUUUUCUUGUAAAACUGAGGGCAACAACAAUAAAAUGUGCCUUUCAUGUUAUGUACUUUCAUUAUUUGGGUU